GACCCGCUAGCUCAGCAGGUAGAGCACCUGACUUUUAAUCAGGGGGUCGUGGGUUCGAGUCCCACGCGGGUCACCA
rnacentral:tRNA from 1 species